rnacentral:rRNA from 1 species
ACGCACGCUGGCGGCGUGCUUAACACCUGCCAGUCGCACGGAAAGGCCCUGCUUUUGUGGGGUGCUCGAGUGGCGAACGGGUGAGUAACACGUGAGUAACCUGCCCUUGACUUUGGGAUAACUUCAGGAAACUGGGGCUAAUACCGGAUAGGAGCUCCUGCUGCAUGGUGGGGGUUGGAAAGUUUCGGCGGUUGGGGAUGGACUCGCGGCUUAUCAGCUUGUUGGUGGGGUAGUGGCUUACCAAGGCCUUGACGGGUAGCCGGCCUGAGAGGGUGACCGGCCACAUUGGGACUGAGAUACGGCCCAGACUCCUACGGGAGGCAGCAGUGGGGAAUAUUGCACAAUGGGCGGAAGCCUGAUGCAGCAACGCCGCGUGCGGGAUGACGGCCUUCGGGUUGUAAACCGCUUUCGCCUGUGACGAAGCGUGAGUGACGGUAAUGGGUAAAGAAGCACCGGCUAACUACGUG